AAUAAAACAAUUUAACUGGUCAACUGAAUUUUACCAUUUAUUAGAUACAAGCGGCAUUAAAAUCACAACGUUUAGCGAGACUUUGUCUCUUGUCAAAUAAUUAUUUAGUACACAUGAGAGGACAGCAAUCGACACACCACCGCUGUUCGUACGUGGUGCACUUUCCACAGAUUAUUUUUUUGCAGUCGUAACAUUUAGCGGAACUUUUGUUGUUGCAUUUUUUGGUUUGACAAUGUUGGCGUUUCGGUGGAAUGUUUGAGCAACAUAUUUCCGUUGAAAAUUUACGUUUUCGAUUCGCGUUAGAUUUAGUGUUUUGUAUCCGCAAUGUCAUCCCGUUUGAGCUGUCACUGUUCGAGUUAUUGUUGUUCACAUUUUUAUCCACGAUUCUCCGUAUAAAUUAUCCAAGCAUUUAUAGCUGCAAGGUCCAGGAUGUUAUAAAACACUUGUACUGGCCAUCGUCGAGAUGAGGAUUUCACCGAAUAUUUUUUCGCCAUUUGGUCAGCAACAUCGACACCGAAUUUGGUUUGAUUGUAAUUGGUAUAAAGUCAACGUGGUAGCAUCUGGACCAAGAUAAAUAUUUGACUCGUACAACGGGAGUUUCGGAUUCUUCAGUUUCGCUGUUUCUGGAAGCCAUCGGCGCUGUUUGUUUACCGUUCCAAUCAGCGUAGUUUUUUUCUCUUUCAACGCCACAGCCAAAUUCAGGCCGUCUGAGUACCACACGUUCUCCAGCUGGCUGAUCGUUUUGCUGCACAUCUUUCCCGGUAAAUGGAAACCCGUUCAAAAUAUAUUUUGAGUGAAGAUCGACCACGAAGAAAAAUUUGAUGCCAAAUUUGUCCGGCUUAUCCUUCAUAAACUGUGUAAACGGACAUCUCGCCUUGGUUGGAAAUAAUUGUUCAUCGACUGUGACGUUAACACCAGGAUUGUAACAUUUCUGACAGUUGUCAAUGAAACUGUCCCACACAUAACUCAUCAACCCGAAUUUAUCAGUUGCUAAGCGUUCCUUACGGGUUUCUUUGUCAUCAAAUCGAAGAAAUUUCAUGAUCGCCUUAAAUUUGUCUCUGGACAUAGUACUGCGAAUAACCGCAGGACCAUAUUUCUCGGAAAAAAUGUUCGUGACUGACAUGUUUUUUAAUCCGAGCGAUCCUCGUGAAUAACAAAUGGCAAUAAACGCGAGAAGUUCAUUUCUCGAAAUUUUCCAGGCGUCAUUUUGGAACGUUCGUUCUGCUUCUUUCAUUGUACAUUCGCAAAUGUAAUCGAGCAUAUUGUCAUCAACAAAAAGGCGAAAUGCACUGCAAAUGUCACUUACUGUACGGAAGGCGUACGGAGUUGGACCGGGCUUUGCGCGAAGAAUAUUUUCCACCGAUAUUUUUCCCUUAACAGUUGACGGCUCAGCAAAAUGUUUUUUCCACACACUACCAUCAAGGCCAACUUCCCAAAUCCAAUCGUCACAUGUAUCGUCAUCUGUUUCACAACCACUUGAGUCAUCAUCACUCCAACUUCCUGCAUCACUGUGGUCCUCAUCGGUUUGAUCAUCACUUGCUUCGCCCUCAGAAUUGCCUUCUUGGAUGUCUGUUGUCGGUAACAAAUGUCGUUUGACAUUUUCGUCAUCCUCAGAUUCAUUGGUGGAUGCGGUCGUCGCUGUUGUUUUCAGAUGUUUUGAAUCAUCCGAUUCAUCUCCUGAAUCCACAGAGAAAUUGUCGUUGUCGGAUUCGUCAACUUCUUGCUGAGCGUCGUCGUCGGAUUCGUCAACAUCUUGCCGAGCGUAGUCGUCCGAUUCGUCAACAUCUUGCUGAGCGUCGUCGUCGGAUUCGUCAACAUCUUGCACACCAUCACUUUCCGAUUCUAAAAUUCAAUAUUUUCUUGUAAUUGAUUGUGCCAAUAAUUUCAACUAUGUUUACCAUUCUCAGUCACUUGUUUACACAAUUCGUCAAAAUUUUCUUCUGAUUCGGAACCAGAAAGUUCUUCUGGGAUAUUACGAAGAUCGUCCAAACGUUUUUUUAACGACCGUGUCAUGCACCGCAUUUUAUUUUAAUUUAUAAAAAAAGCAAUUUUGAUUUCCAUGUAA